AGAAGGACCGCACUGCCCACACUCCAAGUCCUCUUGCCCCGAAAACCGCAUCUGACCACCAGGACCUCAGGGAAACCACGGCCUGAUGGAGGAAUAAAGAAAGCGAGAGAGGCAGAGAGAGGUGGAGAUGCUUUGGCCCCACAGCAGCUGAUGGUGACUCAGAAAGAGAGUCAAUUAUAGGGCUAUAAAGGUCUCUUUAGCCCAGAGACGGGCCGCCUGUGUCGGGGGAAGCUGAAAGCUAACGUGAUUACCGGAGUGGAACAACUAGCAGCACACAGGAGACACACAGAAAAACUGUAUACAUGCCUCUGGAGGUUAGCAUCGACGGAUCCGUGUCCUGACUACAUCCUUUUUGGGGUAAUAUAAAGCCUGGAGAGAUCAUGAAGUUUAUUUAAAAUAGUAAUUAGGUAGGCUAUCCAUACAAACUUUCUCAAAACAUGUAACCAGAUAAGCUAUGCUACAGAAAACGGUAUUCAAAAAAGCACCAAAAAGCAGACCAUUCAUGCACUAUAUUUUAUGAUUUAUAUUUAAGGCAGCAGUUCUCGUCGAAGCUUGCAUUGAAUCUGUUUUCACCGCAAACGAAGAUUUUCUUACUUGAUAUGUUGUUUUUCAUUGCAAGUCUACAAAUUCUUAAAUCAGGAUUCAUUUACUUUGACGUGGCAUGUUUUUAGUUUUCAGUGAACUAUCCCUUUAAAACGAGAUGCAUUUGCUUGUGAACCAAAACGGCCUCAGAUAUUAAGUCACGUUUCCCGAACAACGUAUUGAAAUUAAACGGGUUUAUGCUUGAAACAGGGAAAAAGAAUAUGUAUCAAUGGCGUAAGAAAGAUGUUGUUUUCAUUCUGAAUUUAAUAUAUUUUAAUUACCACACUGACAGACAUCUUUUCUUGUUUUGAACACUUUUGGCUUAACAUUUCAAGUCAGUUUAUCUAGCAAACUUGUUUUGAUUUAAAGGGAUAGUUCACUCAACACAAAAAGAUCUUUUGCGUUCAACAGAAGAAAGCCACUCUUAACUUUUGAACAACUUGAUGGUUGAGUUUUAAUUUUUGGGUGAGCUAUCUCUUUAAGAAUUUUUAGAUAUACAUGCAAUAAAUGCAGAACUAGGUUUGGUAUUAAAACAAUUUCUUUAAUAUGGUUACUGAUACAUCCUUACGCUUCAGCAGCCUAUGCAGUGCGGUACAGCGAGCAUACACAAGCAGCGCUUUCCUUCAAUGACCCCUUCAGAUUUUCACUAAAUGCGUUUUAUUUCACCCAGCGGUGAAAUCACACAUAUCUGAGGAGAACCACUGACUAAAAAUAUCUCCCCUCCACAAAUGGAACACCAUUCACACACACUUCUGAACAGCCCAUACUGUACACGUGUGAGUGAACACACACUCACACAGCUCCGCCCCGGGUUCAGUUUGCCCUCAGUUCUCCUGAUCUCCGGCCAAUGUCCUGCCAGCAUUCUGGGUGGUCCCAUUCCUGUGGUUCUGGCAACCCAUCUGUCCACCGAGCCAAAAUAUUACAAACACACCCAUUUAC